rnacentral:lncRNA from 1 species
AACUCCCUUAUCGUAAGAGACACAAACUAAAACCACACCCAGGCUCCUUUGGCUUUGUUUCAUUUUUCCCUCUCAGGCUGCAAGAAAUCAGAGAGGUCGAGGACCAGAUGCUGGUGAGGCUGAGGAGAAAGGGGCCUGGCACCCGGCCCAUGCCCUGGAAGGACAAACAGACAGAGCUGACCAGGGCUCCCACAGCAGCUGGGUGUGUACGCGAAGAUCCUGUCUAUUCAGCAAAACCUCCAGGAGAGGCGCCGUCAGCUGGCUCCUUAGGGAUUCCUCCAGCCCCAGGCAAG